GAUGAACGCUGGCGGCGUGCCUAAUACAUGCAAGUCGAGCGAACAGACGAGGAGCUUGCUCCUCUGACGUUAGCGGCGGACGGGUGAGUAACACGUGGAUAACCUACCUAUAAGACUGGGAUAACUUCGGGAAACCGGAGCUAAUACCGGAUAAUAUAUUGAACCGCAUGGUUCAAUAGUGAAAGGCGGUUUUGCUGUCACUUAUAGAUGGAUCCGCGCCGCAUUAGCUAGUUGGUAAGGUAACGGCUUACCAAGGCGACGAUGCGUAGCCGACCUGAGAGGGUGAUCGGCCACACUGGAACUGAGACACGGUCCAGACUCCUACGGGAGGCAGCAGUAGGGAAUCUUCCGCAAUGGGCGAAAGCCUGACGGAGCAACGCCGCGUGAGUGAUGAAGGUCUUCGGAUCGUAAAACUCUGUUAUUAGGGAAGAACAAAUGUGUAAGUAACUAUGCACGUCUUGACGGUACCUAAUCAGAAAGCCACGGCUAACUACGU
rnacentral:rRNA from 1 species